CCAGACUCCUACGGGAGGCAGCAGUGGGGGAUAUUGCACAAUGGGGGAAACCCUGAUGCAGCGACGCCGCGUGGGUGAAGAAGUAUUUCGGUAUGUAAAGCCCUAUCAGCAGGGAAGAAAGAAGACGGUACCUGACUAAGAAGCCCCGGCUAACUACGUGCCAGCAGCCGCGGUAAUACGUAGGGGGCGAGCGUUAUCCGGAUUCACUGGGUGUAAAGGGAGCGUAGACGGCCGUGCAAGCCAGGAGUGAAAGCCCGGGGCCCAACCCCGGGACUGCUCUUGGAACUGUGCGGCUGGAGUGCGGGAGGGGCAGGCGGAAUUCCUGGUGUAGCGGUGAAAUGCGUAGAUAUUAGGAGGAACACCAGUGGCGAAGGCGGCCUGCUGGACGACAACUGACGGUGAGGCGCGAAAGCGUGGGGAGCAAACAGGAUUAGAUACCCUUAACU
rnacentral:rRNA from 1 species